AAACGCGCGUCGACGCCGGCGAAGUCCCUGCCGUCCUUGUCCACCGUCGUGUUCCAGCUCCAGAGUGUCGUCUACCCCACAGGUUAAAAUUGUCAAAUUUGCCUGCGUACAGUGUAGUAGUAUUGUUUUCGAUCUGUACCACGCCUGGGGACGCAGGCUUCAAACCCAUUAACAGUCGCUACAAGGGCGCCUUCUCACCCUGUCCAUGUCAUCAGACACGCACUGUUCGGAGCGGCCAAUCGCAAGAAUGUUUUCCGCUAGCCAAUCGCCUGUGUCGUCGGUUGUUUGCGUGUUGGCUAGAAAAAAUAGUGUCCCACAGCUUCGUCCAGAAGAAAGAGAGAGAGUCACCGGCCCACCCCUUAUCCUUUCCUCUCCCAACAGAAUCAGUACCGCACGCAACCUCUCCUCCCAAUUCAUGGCCAUCGGCAGGACGACAGGAUCUGGCCGAUGGGAUUCGGCGACCGGACGAGGGCAUGGGCGUCGAUCUUCCUCCUCCAGCUCCCAGUCACAGGCGCCGCCACCAUCGACCAGAUCUUCACCACGGCCCCUCGCACGACCUCGUCGGCGACGCGUCCUCCAGGGCAAAGCUAUGGAGGAGUCCCUGUGCCAUGCCACGGAGCUGGCGCAGGCCGUCGCCAAUGCCCUCUUCUCGCUGCCGGCGACGGCCCCGUCGUCCGCCUCCCGCCGCCCACCAAUCGCCUACCCCACGAGAAGCAUGUGAGAAUACUGCAUCCUGUCGUUCUAUCUCUGCUCGCUACUGUGGGCUGCUCUCGAGUCUCGAUUUGUUUUUGAGAAUGAUUACUGCCGGCUAGGCGAUUGGUGUAGUUUACAGAUGCGAGGGUAAGAGAAUCUCCAGCCGUUGAGCCCCAAGGAGGCGGUUUUUUCGCCGCUUGGGGGGCUGUCGGCGAAAAAUUAAGCCUCGGAGUCCCCCACGCACCUACCCAGCCACCACCACCACGUGAACUUCCCAAGAGGCUAGCGGAGCUGGACGGAGCGAGCCGGCGAGCGGGGCGGCGAGCAGACCCGGCCGGGGGCGAAGCAGCGCCCACGCGGAGGAAGCCGCGGGAGGGCAAGGAGGCGGACGGGACCGGACCCGGUGCCGCGGGCGGGGACGACGAUGAGCGGCGCGGCCUGCCGAAGCUAGAGUCGAGGACGAGGCGGCGAGAUGCUGCUAGAGUCGAGGCCCUCGGGCGCGCCGCGAUGCAGCUUGGGCUUCGGCAUGCCCGGGCCGGCGCGAUGAGCAGGGCGGCGACGGCGGCGCGCGGCACGCGAUGAGCAGAGUGAGGCGGUGAGGAGGCAGAGGCCGGCGCGCGGCGAGGAGGCGGCCGCGACCAGCGGCGGUGAGGAGGCAGAGGCCGGUUGCCACGUCGAGCAGCAGCGAGGUGAGCCGGCCGCGCCCGCGGGAUCCGGCCGGAGAGGCGGCGAGCUCGAGUGGUGCAGUGGAGCAUGGAGGAGAAGGGGCGGCAGGCAUGCGGGAGAAAAAGGAGAUCCAACCGGAGAGACGGCGAGCUCCGGUGGCGCGGUGGAGCCUUGACUGCGCCCGCUCGCCGGCCGUACUCGCCCGUCUGGAGCCGGCGCAGGACGCGACGGCGGAUGAGGGUGUGGUGGAGCAUGGAGGAGAAGGGGCGGCGGGCAUGCGGGAGAAAGAGGAGAUUCUUGCAUGCACUGGCACUGCACCUGGUGGGCUCGUCAGAAAAAGGAAGGGGAGAGAGAUUAGAGGCUGGCGGUGGGCCUAUUGCAGCCAAAAACUAGUGUCGGCGCCCCCAGCUGCCUCCCGAUUCCCUGGGAUUGCCUUGCGAGCGCCGGCCGUACAUUUAGUUAAAUCCGGCGCAAAACGAGCCUGUGCGGGUGCGACUGGGACAUUUUUUUAAUGCCGGUGCUAAAAAAGGCACCUGAGGGCCAUCCUGAAGGCGCGACGGAGUUGCUCUAACACAGUAGCAUGAAACUGCAGCUGCCAUAACCAACAUAUUACUUCAAUUAUUGUUCGUAUGGAUUCUAAUUUCUCAUUCCUGCUCUCUGCUAAUUCGUAAACAAGAUAUCAACGAGAAGACGUUGUUGGUACUCUGUCCGGAGGAGCGCGCCAUUGCACCAUCGACAGGAAGAGGCUAGGUGGAGCGCAGAGUCACCACCGGCUGUGCCCUGGGCGAUCUGCUGAGUUAAACCUGUUGUAGUCUGAUGUCCAUGCUUUUUUGCACGCGCGGCACCGCCGUCCGGACGCCGAUCCCCGGUUGCCUUCUUCACACUCCUCCUCCUGCUCCAGUUCGCGCCCAGCCAAAACGCGCGUCGACGCCAGCGAAGUCCCCGCCGUCCUUGUCCACCGUGGUGUUCCAGCUCCAGAGUGUCGUCUAUCCCACCAGGCAUUAUUAUGUCACCAUGAGCAUUGGGAAUCCACCCAAGACUUACUUCCUGGGUAGCCCAAGUUUGCUUGACUGUUAGUUGUGCAGUCCUUUAUUCUGUAACUGUACCUAGACUCCCAUGGCAUGCAGUGUCAUUUGUUUCUGUAUUCUUUUGUUCAUGUGUUGCGCUGGUCAAUACAUGGUGAGCCUUCGUCAAGCGCACUAGCCUUGGUUGCAAGAGAGCAACACCAUGAGCUAGCUUCCUUCCUUGCUUGGUUCACAAGUGAGUUUGGAUUAUUUUGGGAACCUCUUUUAGGAGUUUGGAAUACUCUAAGAAAUUACUGUACGAGUUGAGCGUACUCUGAGCACCACAUGUACCUGUAGCGCGCCACGAUGACCGGCACAAGUCAUGUUUCUCUCCAUUCUCCUCCUCUAGCUCCCUCCCUCUAGAUUCCAUUGUGGCUUUUAUGUGAAAGAGGCUAGAUCAUGAACAUGUGCGGUGAGCUUUUGUGCUACUUUAUUUUUAGAGCGAUUACCAGUAUUGCCAAUGUCAGUAGAUACUUUAUUUAUUUUGUGA